rnacentral:lncRNA from 1 species
UCCUUCCGGUGUUCACGGGGGAGUGCAAGGAGUGCAGGCACUGUAAGUCAGAGGAAAGCAACAUGUGUGAUCUCCUGAGGAUCAAUACUGACAGGGGUACUAUGCUCAGUGAUGGCAAGUCCAGGUUCUCCAAGGAUGGAAAGCCAAUAUAUCACUUUCUUGGUACCUCUACCUUCAGUGAAUACACUGUAUGUCAUGUUGGUUCCGUCGCCAAGAUCAACCCUGCAGCCCCUCUUGAAAAAGUUUGUGUUCUUAGCUGUGGAAUAUGCACAGGUUUGAAAGACUUAUCACAUUUUAAUGGUUACAUUCUUAAAAAAGAUGAGUGGUUUCUUUGUUUUUGUUUUCCCUAAUCAAUUUCUGUUUUGUGCAUUUAAAGGUUUUGGUGCCACCGUGAAUGUUGCAAAACCCAAAAAGGGCUCGUCUGUUGCCAUUUUUGGACUGGGUGCUGUUGGUCUUGCUGUAAGUCAUUCUUAUGUUUUGACACUCUUUUAUGGUGUUUCCUGCUAGUUUGGAUUAUCAUGAUGAUUUUUCUUGUUCAUAUCCUUGUUAAUUUUUAGGCUGCUGAAGGUGCAAGGGUUUCUGGGGCUGCAAGAAUCAUUGGAGUUGAUUUGAAUUCCAACCGAUUUGAGGAAGGUCAGUCUUUUUAAAAUAUCCAUCCAAGGACUUACUGUGCUUCCUGUCCGGUUCAGAUUAAGUUGUCAUCGACUGAUUUAUCAUGCUUUUUUGUACUCACUGGCAGCCAAGAAGUUUGGCGUGAAUGAAUUCGUGAAUCCAAAAGAUCAUAACAAACCUGUGCAAGAGGUUAGUUACAGACUUUUUUAUCCCUUCACCUGUUGAGGAAUUGACCUAAAGAUUGCCCCUUGCCUUCGUAAUAUGUUUACAAUACUGAUCUUAUUGAAGCCAAAUAAUGCAUCACGACUUCUCCCUUGUGUACUUGAUAAGCUUUUGAUUAUUGGUUAACAGUGACUAUUGGACUUUUAUGUUGGUGAUUAUUGGUUAGCAAAGACUUGACAUUUGAAUUUUGACAAAAAGGUGAUUGCUGAAAUGACCGAUGGGGGAGUGGAUAGGAGUGUUGAAUGCACUGGAAGCGUCCAGGCGAUGAUUUCUGCAUUUGAAUGUGUUCAUGAUGUAAGCAGUUGUAAAAGUUGUAGGUUGUUUAAUUUGAUGAGAUAUUAGAAUAUGCAACCACAUUGCUUUUGAGGUUUAAAAUUGAACUCUCUUUCCUCUCUGAAUUUAGGGUUGGGGCGUUGCUGUACUCGUUGGUGUGCCUAGUAAAGAUGAUGCAUUCAAAACCCAUCCAGUGAAUUUCUUGAAUGAGAGGACUCUUAAGGGCACCUUCUAUGGUAACUACAAGCCACGAUCCGAUCUGCCCGGGGUUGUGGAGAUGUACAUGAAUAAGGUAAGUUCGUAUUUCCUUUCAAGCAUGUUUGUGAAUAAUUUUCAAACCAAGCAAAAACUUUGCUUAUUUAAGUAAUGUGUUCUUAGAUGGACAAUAUUUAAGGUUGUGUUCUUUGAUUUUUCUAGUUUUUGAGGGCAGUUUUAAUUUUCAAUAUGAUGUUGUAAAACUCUACCUUGUGUACUGAUCUUGCAGGAGCUGGAAGUGGAUAAAUUUAUCACUCACUCGGUCCCUUUCGCUGAGAUCAACAAAGCAUUUGAUUUGAUGCUUUCAGGACAGUCCAUCCGGUGCAUCAUUCGCAUGGAGGAUUAGAGCAACUAAGGACUUUUUAUGUGAUAAUGGAUAGAAUUUAUAUAUCUAUCUGAUGUCUUUAAGAAUAAUUGUGUUGGUCUGGAUUUUACAAAUUUUGAGAUGAUAAACUUAAGAUAGUAGGAGGUUUUGACUUUUGUCUUUGAUAUUAUGGUUUUUAUGAUAAUAAAAUUUUCUGCAUAUUUUCUUUAGAUUUUCUCUUUUAUAAGUAUAUAGGUCGACAUGUUUUUUCUCUCUCUACCAAUCUAUGGAGGAAUCCGAAUUUGGAGCUUUGUGCUCUGGUUAUAUCAGCAUUAGGUGUCUGGAAGCAUGCCGAUAUGCAAAUUCUAUCUCUGUUUUGGAAGAAUCCUGGUUGUGCAUGUUUUGAAGUACUAAAGUGAAGGCAGAGAUCCGGCCUCCUUGCAUCCAACUUCCAAGUUCGAUGGAUGUAUAGUAUUUUAAGUUCGAAUCUUCCUUUCGUAGAUAAGUUGGAUGCAAGUGCUGCUUUCCAAUCAUCCUGUGCACGAAGCGACUGUACCAGCUGUGGUCACAAAAUCGAUACAUAACAUUCUUUUUCGGUGGUAUUGUGAAUAUUGUGAAUCUUGCAUUACAUGAAGGUUGACAGGAUCUGUACCGAAUAUCUCGAAGAAUAUCUCGGAGUUCGAGAUGAAUUAUGUUGUCUUUUCGACAUCACUCUGAUGUUGAGGCCACUUACUUAGAUAGAUGAAAUUUUUUGCCUAAAUUUUGAUAGGGUCUUCCUUGAAAAAUAGACAUUUUUCAAAAUUUUCAACAUGUUAUAAAAAAUAAUUAUACAAUCCUAACAGUAACAUACACAAUGUAAAUUCAUGUAGUUUACAUAAUAGGCCUCUGGCUUUACAUUCAAUCCUAAUAUGGGCUAUAACAGAGCAUAUCUAAAGGAAUUUCGAAUACAAGUGAAAUAUAAAGUUCAAUGGAAAUAAAACAAUGAAAAGUUAUCCUACAAGAGAUCCGGGUUCGGAUGUUUCGAUCUCGGCUCGGCUGUUCGAUUCAAGUCUAUCUUCUGUCUGGGGGGCGCAAAAUAUAAAAGUGUGAGUGGAUAAAAAAUAAAGUUUCUUUAUAUUUGAAAACAACAUAUAAUAAUCCCACCGUUUGAAAAACGAUAAUACCUAUCCCAUUCAAAAACCUUUCCUAUUUUCCCCAAAUCACUCUUUCAAAACGCGUGUUCAUCGGCACGGCGAGCGAGGAAGGAUCCUCACUCACAAAUAAGAAUGAAUGUAUAGGUAUAUAUAUAUAUAUAUAUUACCAAUCUUGUACCAGGAAAACAAUCCAACCGGAGGAUUGUUUGACUAGACCACAUGGAAUAAUCCUCAAUCAACCAUGUAGCUAGGGAACGAGCCGUCCAACCAGGGGAUUAAGCUCACCAGCACGUACAAUAGAAUCCUCAAUACUCGUACGCCUAUGACAAGUCCUACGCGCGCAGACUAACCCCUCUAAGUGUUUAUGAAACACCCCAUCAAGGGUGCUCGGGUUCUGACAUUUAUAUCCAAGUAUCUCAAGAUUCCAAAUAUCCAAUUCCAGUAUUCUGAAUUCGGAGAGGUACAUAGGGUAGUAAUAAUAGCACUCAAAACUAACAUAAAUCACAACCUAACUUGCAUUUCAUAAUCCAUUUCUCAAAAACCUAUGUACGCCACGCAUAUCCAAGAAUAAAUAGAAAUUCUUGAAAAUAGCAUUUAUCAACUCAAGAUAAUUACCAAUAUCCAAAUAUAUUUCAAAUACUUUAAUAAAAAUAUAAUAUUUCAACAAUUAAUUAUAUAAUAAACUUAAUAAUCAAAUAAAUCAUUAUUUUUCAUCAUAAAAAUAAUGUUUAUUAUUUAAAAACAAAGUCUACUCACAGAUAAUCAAACACUGUUUGACCCUCAGAGGGUCCCGCCUGCUGGGUACGCAGGGUCGGAGUACUUAUUUAAGAAUAUGAGGCUAGAUUAAAAUAAAAUACUUCAAACGAGACUAUCAAAUAAUUUCCUAGUUUUUCCCGGGAUUCCAAGUGUGUGAACAAUGAACGAGAAGUUCCUAAGGUCCAACUACGUGUUUUGAAGAGUGGAAUAACUUCGGAAGAAGCUCGGUCAACCCAGUGGUCAAACUUCCCAAAUUAGGUCAACCAGGCCCGCAGGGCCUCCAAUUUCCGAUCCAAAAGCUCCUACAGGUUCAACCAAGUUUACUAAACAUGUCCUGCAAGUUUGGUCCAGAUCGAGCGGUCGGAUCACUGGCGAUCACACGAUCGGAGGUUACCAUUUUACCUAGUCUUUGAAUCAUUGAAUCGGAGCAUCCGGAACUCCAAUUCCUGAUCCACAAAUUCCUACACAAUCCUAGAGAUACCUAGAUCAACAUAUAUGGAAAUGGAGUAGAUCCAGUGGUCAGAACAUAUUGAACCUAGAUAACGCCUAAUAUACGUAAAUCUGAUCGACAUCCAAACGAUAAUCAAAUUUAAAUCCAAGCAUUCCGUCAUGCUCGAGACGACAUGUGGAUCAUUUUAGGACCAAAUAGGCCACCCAAACAUGGCCCAUGUGCCGCCACAUGCGCCGGCAGCACAUGGGUGUCUUGAGAAAAUUUCAGUGAUUGGAAAAUUCUCAAAACACCCAUCAAUACCUAUACCUACAUGAUGAAUCAUGAAUAUGUAUAUCAUUCUUUAUUUUAUUUAGGGAAAGAUGAGUAAUGCUAAGUUAGCUCAAAUGAGUAUGAAUUUGUUUUAUAGUAUUAUGACAUUGAAGUAUUGAGUGUGAAUUUUUUUAAUAUAUAUAUAUAUAUAAGUAUAUCUAUUAUAAUUUUAUUAGAAUUUAUUUUUAUUUUAAUUGUCGUGUCUUAGCCGUGUUCGUGUCCUAGUUUUUUGAAAUUUUUCGUGUUGCCGUAUUGAUUUUCCGUGUUCCUAUGUCCAUGUUCGUGCAACAUAGCAUAAAUCUACUAUUUCUUUGUGAAAAUAUGUUUGCAUCUUAAAAGGCACUUCAAUAACGAAAAUUAUUGAGCGGGACGACAACACCUCGUUUCUAAGACCACCCAUAACUUAUUGUAUAAGCAAUUUGUGAAAAUUGUAUGAUUCAACAUUUCAAAAAAUAUGAUAAUCCUCAGACAAAAAGUUCAUUAUUAAUGGAGAGAGAGAUCUUACUGUAAUUAAUCAAAAUCGGUGAAUAAAUUAAAAAAUAAUAAUUAGGAAUUAGUUCUCUUCAACAAGGAUGAGCAGCAAACUGGCAAUAUGGAAUUUGUCCAAAAUUAAGGCAAUAUAUGGUCAUAUUUGGUGGGUAAGACUGGACUAAACUAUUUCGAUCAUAUACCACUAGAGAGAAGUGUUUUUUAUUUUAUUUUUUAUUUUAUAGAACUACAGUUGCACAAGUACAAGUAUUUUUCCAAUCCAAAAGUAGUUUUCUCUCCACGCACCCACGGAUACACAGAAUUAAUGACAGAAUGUUUGGGCUCAAAUCCAAGUAAUAACAUUAUUCAAUUGGGAUUUUAAAAGACUGUUUAGGGAUUUAAAAAAAAAGUUCAAUAGAUUUAAGCAGAAUGUAAUGAUUUAUAGGAAUUUAUUUAAAGAUUUAUAUAAUAAGAUUUAUUAGAUUGGAAAGGAUCAUAUAGAUUUAACUUUUCAUCAUCUUCCCUAAUUUGCAUAGUGUAAUAAAUUAGUCAUUCACAUUAAUCUUUUUGUAUAUGCCUUCUACGUCCCCCUGCUUUGUCCUCUAUAUCUUUUCUCCUUCUAUUUGAUGAACCCCUCAAAUUUAAACACAUGCCUUAUUCAAAUUAAUACACAUGCCUUGUUCAAAUGAUGUACACAUGCCAUAGACUAUAUUAAUUCAAACGCAAUAUAUCAUAUGGAACACAGGCCAUGCUUUACCUCGGCCAAAUUAUGGCGACACCACAAGACCUAACAGGUCCAAAGCGCCAAACUCAAAUGGGUUCUUCUCUGUUAAAACUUACAUGGAUAAUCCAAACUCCAUCUCCAGCUUUGCCAGCAAGGUCAUUGGCACCCUGCCAGUUGUUGGGUUAAUAGCAAUAUAUAUAUUAUCAAAUUAGCAAGUUUUUGAAUACCAUAUGGUAUUCAAUUAAGACUUUUAAAUAAUCUAAACAAAUCUUGUGGUAUUCCGUUAAGACUGUUAUAAUUUUUAAAAGAGAGGUAAAAUUUAGUGGUAUUCAAUCAAGACUUUAAAUAAGUAACAAAAAGUUUUAUGGUAUUCAAGUAUUUUAUAAAACUACAGUUGCGCAAGUGCAAGUAUUUUUCCAUUUUUCCAAUCCAAAAGUGGUUUUCUCUCCAGGCACCCACGGACACACAGAAUUAAUGACGGAAUGUUUGGGCUCCAAUCCAAGUAAUAUAGAUUUUUAUUUUUGGCCAGAAAAACCUUAGAUGGAAAAUGGUUUUUUCGUACACUGAAUUUCGACUUUCUUGAGCGGUACAAUCACACUAUAAAUAGUGCCUUCACAUUCUCACUUUCCCACAUCCAAAAACACAACACUUUUGAUCGUAAGAUAAACAUCACAAAGUUCUGAUACAAUGUCUACAGCUGGUCAGGUUAUCAAGUGCAGAGGUAAACCCAGACCUCUUGCUCUCCUUUGUUAUAUAGUUCUAUUCAUUUCAUUUUUCUGAUGAAGUUUUAUUUUUUCGUUAUACCAAUGUUGGAUUCUCUGUUUCUGAUAAUUGUUUUAGUGAUUCCAAUAUUUGGGUCUGGUUUGUUCAAACAAUCAGUUCCCUUCAUUCUGUUGUUUAAUAGUGUUGGUGAUGAGUCUCAGCUGAUUUAUACCUUUGUUUCUGGUUACAUAUCUUGUUUUCUUUUGUGCUUUUACAUGAUCCUGGUGAUCCUGGUGGUUUUUUUUUUUAACAUGCAGAUGCUUGAUCUUUUCCUUUUUUCUUUUCUCUUUUUGUUAAAGUGUUUUAUAAAUCAAUUAACGAUGAUGUGCAACUUUACUGAAAAGAAGAAAGAAACCAUAAUUUUUUUUUUUUUGUCAAUUAUCUUUGCAUUGGCAUUUGUGUUAAUAAUAUUGAUUAAAUGGAUGUAUUGUUUACUAAUUGCAUUGGCAUUUGUGGAUUGUAGCCGCGGUGGCAUGGGAAGCGGGGAAGCCACUAUCAAUUGAGGAAGUGGAGGUGGCACCACCACAGAAAGAAGAAGUCCGCUUGAAGAUCCUCUUCACCUCUCUUUGCCACACUGAUGUCUACUUCUGGGAAGCCAAAGUAAAUUUUUAUUAUACUUUUACUGGCAUUGUGUUGAACUAUAUCCAUAUCAUGAUGGAAAAAGAGAACGAUUUGGUUAUAAUAUGCCUAAUUGCUCACUACAUUAUUAAGCAUGAUAGAGCAUCUGUUUAUUAUUUUGGUCACACAUGUUUCCCCCCAAAUGAAACAACAAGGGGCCUCUCCUGUACGUGGCAUUUUCUUUUGGAACUGAAUCAUCUCUUUUAUGUCACAGGGACAACACCCACUGUUCCCUCGCAUUUACGGUCAUGAAGCUGGAGGGUAUGUUGCUAAAUUUUGAGUUUCCCUUGUAGACAGAGUAUUUUUAGUUUCCUAAAUUUUGCUUGCUUGGCAAAUUUUUUGUUUAGAAUUGUGGAAAGCGUAGGUGAGGGUGUGACUGAUCUCCAACCAGGAGACCAUGUCCUUCCGGUGUUCACGGGGGAGUGCAAGGAGUGCAGGCACUGUAAGUCAGAGGAAAGCAACAUGUGUGAUCUCCUGAGGAUCAAUACUGACAGGGGUACUAUGCUCAGUGAUGGCAAGUCCAGGUUCUCCAAGGAUGGAAAGCCAAUAUAUCACUUUCUUGGUACCUCUACCUUCAGUGAAUACACUGUAUGUCAUGUUGGUUCCGUCGCCAAGAUCAACCCUGCAGCCCCUCUUGAAAAAGUUUGUGUUCUUAGUUGUGGAAUAUGCACAGGUUUG